rnacentral:rRNA from 1 species
UACAUAGGAUGCAAGCGUUAUCCGGAUUUACUGGGCGUAAAACGAGCGCAGGCGGGUUAACAAGUUUGGUAUGAAAGGCUUUUGCUUAACGAAAGUUUGUAUCAAAAACUGUUAAUCUAGAGUGUAGUAGAGAGUUCUGGAAUUCCAUGUGGAGCGGUGGAAUGCGUAGAUAUAUGGAAGAACACCAGUGGCGAAGGCGGCCUGCUGGACUGCAACUGACGUUGAGGCUCGAAGGCGUGGGGAGCAAACAGG